rnacentral:rRNA from 1 species
CCUACGGGUGGCAGCAGUGAGGAAUAUUGGUCAAUGGGCGCGAGCCUGAACCAGCCAAGUCGCGUGAAGGAUGACUGCCCUACGGGUUGUAACCUUCUUUUAUAAAGAAAUAAAUUGAGGCAUGUGUGCCUUAUUGUAUGUACUUUAUGAAUAAGGAUCGGCUAACUCCGUGCCAGCAGCCCCGGUAAUACGGAGGUUCCGAGCGUUAUCCGGAUUUAUUGGGUUUAAAGGAAGCGUAGAUGGGUUGAUAGGUCAGUUGUGAAAGUUUGCGGCUCAACCGUAAAAUUGCAAUUGAUACUGGCAGUCUUGAGUACAGUUGAGGUAGGCGGAAUUCGUGGUGUAGCGGUGAAAUGCUUAGAUAUCACGAAGAACUCCGAUUGCGAAGGCAGCUUACUAAACUGCCACUGACAUUGAUGCUCGAAAGUGUGGGGAUCAAACAGGAUUAGAUACCCGAGUAGUC